ensembl:snRNA U6 U6 spliceosomal RNA
AUGAUCACUUUAGUAACAUAUAUAUUAAAAUUGGGACAUAUAGAGAAGGUUAGUGUGAUCCUUGCACACAAAUGACAUACACUCUCAUGAAGUAUUCCAUAUUUUC